UCUAAAGAGGCCAUGCUGAGAGCAGGGCUAAAAAAAGACCUACUACUCACCAGUGGCCAGCCUGAGCUGGACCUUUCAGACAGGCACUUUCCCAGGCCUGCCUCCCAGCCUUCCUUCUCAAUAAAUGAGCCCAACUACAGGAGAUCUGAGGUCCCUUCUCAUUCUAGUCUAUGAUGGCUGUGUGGACCAUUGUCACAACUGUCGGCAAGCUACAUCAUGGAUUAGCAAAAUUCCCUGAUUCAGGAGAGAAGGUGGGGGAAGAGAAGGAAAAAACUUUGGACCAUAAGAUUUUGCAGGGGGAAUAUUGACAACUAUCUUUGUAUGUAUUUUGAGAAUAAAAAGCUAUUAUUUUAAAAAAUUCUUUUUAUUUGUUUCAUUAAACAUUUCCCAAUUACAUGAUGUAAUUUUUUUGGUGCCAAUUCUUUCUUUCCCUCGUAGUCCCCCCCCCCCUUGAGAAGACAGACAAUAUAUAGAUUAUGCAAAGCAUAUUUCCAUAUUAGCUAUGUUGUGCAAGAAAACACACUGAAAAAGGA